GCGAGGCCGAGAGGCGUAGUCGAUGCACAACUGGUUGAUAUUCCAGUACCACCAUGUUCGCGUCCGUCCCAAUACUCUGUUGCUAAGGGGCUGUGUUGACUUCGGUCAACGCGAACCGACCCACAUUGUUGCGGGAAGCUGUAGGGGGACGCAGGAAGGUAGAUGAACCCGGUGAAUGGUAGAACCGGGGUAAGCGUGUAGGAGGAGGAACAGGUAAAUCCGGGCCUCAUAAACUCUGAGACGUGAUACCGAGCCGCUUCAGGCGAAGUCAUUGAUCCUAUGCUGCCUAGAAAAGCCCAGCAGCGAGUUGACAUGGUGCCCGUACCCCAAACCGACACAGGUGGACAGGUAGAGCAUACCAAGGCGAGUGGGAUAACUAUGGUUAAGGAACUCGGCAAAUUAGCUCCGUAACUUCGGGAGAAGGAGGACCCCAGUAGCGUGAUGAGACUUGCUCUCUGAGCGUGAAGGGGUGGCACAAAAUUGAGGGAAGCGACUGUUUACCAAAAACACAGCAGCGUGCUAAGCCGUAAGGCGCUGUAUACGCUGUGACUCCUGCCCGGUGCUGGAAGGUUACGGGGAUGGGUUAGUCCUUCGGGACGAAGCUCUGAACCUAAGCCCCAGUAAACGGCGGCCGUAACUAUAACGGUCCUAAGGUAGCGAAAUUCCUUGUCGGGUAAGUUCCGACCUGCACGAAUGGAGUAACGACUUCCCUACUGUCUCAACCAUAGACCCAGCGAAAUUGAAGUACGAGUAAAGAUGCUCGUUAGCUGCAGAAGGACGGAAAGACCCCGUGGACCUUUACUAUAACUUGAUGUUGUGUUUUGUCAUAUGUUGUGUAGGAUAGGUGGGAGACUUGGAAGCAUGGACGCUAGUCUGUGUGGAGUCAUCGUUGAAAUACCACCCUGCAUAUGGUGAGGCUCUAACCUAGACCCGUUAUCCGGGUUGGGGACAGCGUCAGGCGGGUAGUUUAACUGGGGCGGUUGCCUCCUAAAGAGUAACGGAGGCGCCCAAAGGUUCCCUCAGCCUGGUUGGCAAUCAGGCGUUGAGUGCAAUGGCAAAAGGGAGCUUGACUGCGAGACCUACAAGUCGAGCAGGAGCGAAAGCUGGGCAUAGUGAUCCGGCGGUUGCGUGUGGAAGCGCCGUCGCUCAACGGAUAAAAGGUACCCCGGGGAUAACAGGCUAAUCUUGCCCAAGCGUCCAUAGCGACGGCAAGGUUUGGCACCUCGAUGUCGGCUCAUCGCAUCCUGGGGCUGAAGCAGGUCCCAAGGGUUGGGCUGUUCGCCCAUUAAAGCGGUACGCGAGCUGGGUUCAGAACGUCGUGAGACAGUUCGGUCCCUAUCCUCUGCAGCCGGAGGUGAAUUGAGGAAAGCUGUCCCUAGUACGAGAGGACCGGGACGGACGCAGCUCUCGUGUGCCAGUUGUCCUGCCAAGGGCAUGGCUGGUUAGCGACCUGCGGAAAGGAUAACCGCUGAAAGCAUCUAAGCGGGAAGCCUCUUCCAAGAUGAAUUCACCCACAGGGUUAACCUGGUAAGGCCCGUGGUAGACCACCACGUUGAUAGGCCGGAAGUGUAAGCGUGGCAACACGUUCAGCUGACCGGUACUAAUCGGCCGAGGGCUUGAGUUC
rnacentral:rRNA from 1 species